UCYUWCGGGAGGCAGCAGUAGGGAAUUUUCCGCAAUGGAGGAAAGUCUGAMGGAGCARCGCCGCGUGAGUGAUGAAGRCUUUCGGGUMGUAAARCUCUGUUGUUAGGGAAGWACAAGUGYUAGUUGAAUAAGYUGGCACCUUGWCGGUACYUAACCAGAAAGCCACGGCUAAYUACGUGCCAGCAGCCGCGGUAAUACGUAGGUGGCAAGCGUUAUCCGGAAUUAUUGGGCGUAAAGCGCGCGCAGGUGGUUUCUUAAGUCUGAUGUGAAAGCCCACGGCUCAACCGUGGAGGGUCAUUGGAAACUGGGAGACUUGAGUGCAGAAGAGGAAAGUGGAAUUCCAUGUGUAGCGGUGAAAUKCGUAGAGAUAUGGAGGAACACCAGUGGCGAAGGCGACUUUCUKGUCKGUWAACUKGACAAC
rnacentral:rRNA from 1 species